rnacentral:tRNA from 1 species
GGUUCCAUAGUGUAGUGGUUAGCACGUCUACUUGACAUGCAGAAGGUCCUGGUUUGUACCCCAGUGGAGCCA